rnacentral:rRNA from 1 species
GAUGAACGCUAGCUACAGGCUUAACACAUGCAAGUCGAGGGGCAGCAUAGUGUAGCAAUACAUGGGUGGCGACCGGCGCACGGGUGCGUAACGCGUAUCCAACCUUCCCGUUACUCAGGGAUAGCCUUCCGAAAGGGAGAUUAAUACCUGAUGGUGUUUCAAUUCCGCAUGUUAAUGAAACUAAAGAUUUAUCGGUAUCGGAUGGGGAUGCGUGACAUUAGAUAGUAGGCGGGGUAACGGCCCACCUAGUCUACGAUGUCUAGGGGUUCUGAGAGGAAGGUCCCCCACACUGGAACUGAGACACGGUCCAGACUCCUACGGGAGGCAGCAGUGAGGAAUAUUGGUCAAUGGUCGGAAGACUGAACCAGCCAAGUAGCGUGAAGGAUGAAGGUUCUAUGGAUUGUAAACUUCUUUUAUACGGGAAUAAAACCUCCCACGUGUGGGAGCUUGUAUGUACCGUAUGAAUAAGCAUCGGCUAACUCCGUG